GAUGAAGAACGCAGCAAAAUGCGAUAAGUAAUGUGAAUUGCAGAAUUCAGUGAAUCAUCGAAUCUUUGAACGCACAUUGCGCCCGCCAGUACUCUGGCGGGCAUGCCUGUCCGAGCGUCAUUUCAACCCUCAGGGCCCUCCAGCAGGGCGCUGGUGUUGGGGAUCGGCAGUCCCAGCGGCUGCCGUCCCUGAAAUGUAGUGGCGGUCCCACCGUGACCUCCCCUGUGCAGUACAUCGCUCGCAGAGGGACAGCGGUGCGGCCUCGCCGUAAAACGCCCAACUCUUCAAGGUUGACCUCGGAUCAGGUAGGACUACCCGCUGAACUUAAGCAUAUCAAUAAGCGGAGGA
rnacentral:misc_RNA from 1 species